ACUCCUACGGGAGGCAGCAGUGGGGAAUAUUGCGCAAUGGGCGAAAGCCUGACGCAGCGACGCCGCGUGAGGGAUGACGGCCUUCGGGUUGUAAACCUCUUUCAGCAGGGACGAAAAUGACGGUACCUGCAGAAGAAGCACCGGCUAACUACGUGCCAGCAGCCGCGGUAAU
rnacentral:rRNA from 1 species